AGUUCUAUGGAGAUUUACAUGGGACAUGCAGCCCAUUGCGGUGGCAUGUUUAUCAAUUUGAUGGAGAUUUACAAGAAGAGGUUUAUAAGAAGAGUUUUAUA